GACGAACGCUGGCGGCGUGAUUAACACAUGCAAGUCGAACGGAAAGGCCCUGCUUUUGUGGGGUGCUCGAGUGGCGAACGGGUGAGUAACACGUGAGUAACCUGCCCUUGACUUUGGGAUAACUUCAGGAAACUGGGGCUAAUACCGGAUAGGAGCUCCUGCUGCAUGGUGGGGGUUGGAAAGUUUCGGCGGUUGGGGAUGGACUCGCGGCUUAUCAGCUUGUUGGUGGGGUAGUGGCUUACCAAGGCUUUGACGGGUAGCCGGCCUGAGAGGGUGACCGGCCACAUUGAGACUGAGAUACGGCCCAGACUCCUACGGGAGGCAGCAGUGGGGAAUAUUGCACAAUGGGCGGAAGCCUGAUGCAGCAACGCCGCGUGCGGGAUGACGGCCUUCGGGUUGUAAACCGCUUUCGCCUGUGACGAAGCGUGAGUGACGGUAAUGGGUAAAGAAGCACCGGCUAACUACGUG
rnacentral:rRNA from 1 species